rnacentral:rRNA from 1 species
AGCAGCCGCGGUAAUUCCAGCUCCAAUAGCGUAUAUUAAAGUUGUUGCAGUUAAAAAAGCUCGUAGUUGAAUUUCGGGAUCAAUUAAUUGGUCGUGCCUCUGGUACGUACUGAUUUUAUUGGUUUCUCCCUUCUGACGAACCAUGAUGUCAUUAAUUUGGUGUCGUGGAGAAUCAGGACUGUUACUUUGAAAAAAUUAGAGUGUUUAAAGCAAGCUAACGCUUGAAUACAUUAGCAUGGAAUAAUGAAAUAGGACGUUUGAUCCUAUUUUGUUGGUUUCUAGGAUCGACGUAAUGAUUAAUAGGGAUAGUUGGGGGCAUUAGUAUUCAAUUGUCAGAGGUGAAAUUCUUGGAUUUAUUGAAGACUAACUACUGCGAAAGCAUUUGCCAAGGAUGUUUUCAUUAAUCAAGAACGAAAGUUAGGGGAUCGAAGACGAUCAGAUACCGUCGUA